GUCUACGGCCACGCCAUCCUGAACAAGCCCGAUCCCGUCUGAUCUCAGAAGCUGAGCAGGGUCGAGACUGGUUAGUACUCGGAUGGGAGACCACCUAGGAAGACUAGGUGCUGUAGGCA
ensembl:rRNA 5S_rRNA 5S ribosomal RNA